rnacentral:rRNA from 1 species
GACAGAGGGUGCAAACGUUGUUCGGAAUUACUGGGCGUAAAGCGCGUGUAGGCGGCUCGGCAAGUCGGGUGUGAAAGCCCUGGGCUUAACCUAGGAAGUGCACUCGAAACUGCCAAGCUUGAGUUCUGGAGAGGAAGGCGGAAUUCUCGGUGUAGAGGUGAAAUUCGUAGAUAUCGAGAGGAACACCGGUGGCGAAGGCGGCCUUAGCUGG